rnacentral:rRNA from 1 species
AGUGAACGCUGGCGGUAGGCCUAACACAUGCAAGUCGAACGGCAGCACAGGAGAGCUUGCUCUCUGGGUGGCGAGUGGCGGACGGGUGAGGAAUACAUCGGAAUCUACUCUGUCGUGGGGGAUAACGUAGGGAAACUUACGCUAAUACCGCAUACGACCUACGGGUGAAAGCAGGGGACCUUCGGGCCUUGCGCGAUUGAAUGAGCCGAUGUCGGAUUAGCUAGUUGGCGGGGUAAAGGCCCACCAAGGCGACGAUCCGUAGCUGGUCUGAGAAGAUGAUCAGCCACACUGGAACUGAGACACGGUCCAGACUCCUACGGGAGGCAGCAGUGGGGAAUAUUGGACAAUGGGCGCAAGCCUGAUCCAACCAUACCGCGUGGGUGAAGAAGGCCUUCGGGUUGUAAAGCCCUUUUGUUGGGAAAGAAAUCCAGCUGGCUAAUACCCGGUUGGGAUGACGGUACCCAAAGAAUAAGCACCGGCUAACUUCGUGCCAGCCGCCGCGGUAA